ACGCGAAAGUCCCCUUCGGGGGACAAGUAGAGUAGCGCACGGGUGAGUAACACGUAGGUAAUCUACCUUCGGAUGGGGAAUAACAACCGGAAACGGUUGCUAAUACCGCAUAAUGCAGCGGCACCUAAUGGUGACAGUUGUUAAAGCGGGGGAUCGAAAGACCUCGCGUCUGAAGAGGAGCCUGCGGCGGAUUAGCUAGUUGGUAGGGUAACGGCCUACCAAGGCGACGAUCCGUAGCCGGCCUGAGAGGGCGGUCGGCCACACUGACACUGACAUACGGGUCAGACUCCUACGGGAGGCAGCAGUCGGGAAUUUUGGGCAAUGGGCGAAAGCCUGACCCAGCAACGCCGCGUGAAGGAUGAAAUCCCUCGGGAUGUAAACUUCGCAAGAACGGGAAGAAUAAGUAGGGGACAAUACCCCCUAUGAUGACGGUACCGUUUGUAAGCUCCGGCUAACUCCGUGCCAGCAGCCGCGGUAAUACGGGGGGAGCAGGCGUUG
rnacentral:rRNA from 1 species